AACGAACGCUGGCGGCAUGCCUAACACAUGCAAGUCGAACGAGACCUUCGGGUCUAGUGGCGCACGGGUGCGUAACGCGUGGGAACCUGCCCUUAGGUUCGGAAUAACUCCCCGAAAGGGGUGCUAAUACCGGAUAAUGUCUUCGGACCAAAGAUUUAUCGCCUUUGGAUGGGCCCGCGUUGGAUUAGCUAGUUGGUAGGGUAAAAGCCUACCAAGGCGACGAUCCAUAGCUGGUCUGAGAGGAUGAUCAGCCACACUGGGACUGAGGCACGGCCCAAACUCCUACGGGAGGCAGCAGUGGGGAAUAUUGGACAAUGGGCGAAAGCCUGAUCCAGCAAUGCCGCGUGAGUGAUGAAGGCCUUAGGGUUGUAAAGCUCUUUUACCCGGGAUGAUAAUGACAGUACCGGGAGAAUAAGCUCCGGCUAACUCCGUG
rnacentral:rRNA from 1 species